CACAUGCAAGUCGAGCGAUGAAAGUUGUUCAGAUCCUUCGGGUGACGAACUUCCGGAUUAGCGGCGAACGGGUGAGUAACGCGUGAGGAACCUGCCUCUCACAACGGGAUAGCCUCGGGAAACCGGGAUUAAUACCGUAUGACACUAUCAGAUGGCAUCAUCAGGUAGUUAAAGUGCUAGCGGUGAGAGAUGGCCUCGCGUCUGAUUAGUUAGUUGGUGGGGUAACGGCCUACCAAGACGACGAUCAGUAACCGGCCUGAGAGGGUGAACGGUCACAUUGGAACUGAGACACGGUCCAAACUCCUACGGGAGGCAGCAGUGGGGAAUCUUGCACAAUGGGGGAAACCCUGAUGCAGCGACGCCGCGUGAGCGAUGAAGGUUUUCGAAUCGUAAAGCUCUGUCCUAUGGGAAGAUAAUGACGGUACCAUAGGAGGAAGCCCCGGCUAACUACGUGCCAGCAGCCGCGGUAAUACGUAGGGGGCGAGCGUUGUCCGGAAUUACUGGGCGUAAAGGGUUCGCAGGCGGCAUGACAAGUCCGAUGUAAAAGGCGAAAGCUCAACUUUCGUAAGCAUCGGAAACUGUCAAGCUUGAGUGAAGGAGAGGCAAGUGGAAUUCCUAGUGUAGCGGUGGAAUGCGUAGAUAUUAGGAGGAAUACCGGUGGCGAAGGCGACUUGCUGGACUUCAACUGACGCUGAGGAACGAAA
rnacentral:rRNA from 1 species